rnacentral:rRNA from 1 species
UACGUAGGUGGCAAGCGUUGUCCGGAUUUACUGGGCGUAAAGAGCGCGCAGGCGGUCAGAUAAGUCGAAUGUGAAAGCCCCCGGCUCAACUGGGGAGGGUCAUUCGAUACUGUUCGACUCGAAGGCAGGAGAGGGAAGUGGAAUUCCCGGUGUAGUGGUGAAAUGCGUAGAUAUCGGGAGGAACACCAGUGGCGAAGGCGACUUCCUGGCCUGUUCUUGACGCUGAGGUGCGAAAGCGUGGGGAGCAAACAGG